rnacentral:misc_RNA from 1 species
AAAGUCGUAACAAGGUUUCCGUAGGUGAACCUGCGGAAGGAUCAUUAAAGAGUUAGGGUCUUCUAGGCCCGACCUCCCAACCCUUUGUCUACUUGACCCAUCGUUGCUUCGGCGGGCCCGUCUCACGACCGCCGGGGGACCGUCACACGUUCCCUGGCCCGCGCCCGUCGGUGGCCAACCUUAACAAACUCUGUAACAAUCGUGUCUUGCCUGAGUCUAAUUUUUAAUUAAAACAAAACUUUCAACAACGGAUCUCUUGGUUCUG